rnacentral:rRNA from 1 species
UACGAAGGGGGGCUAGCGUUGCUCGGAAUCACUGGGCGUAAAGCGCACGUAGGCGGCUUUCUAAGUCAGGGGUGAAAUCCUGGAGCUCAACUCCAGAACUGCCUUUGAUACUGGAGAGCUCGAGUCCGGAAGAGGUGAGUGGAACUGCGAGUGUAGAGGUGAAAUUCGUAGAUAUUCGCAAGAACACCAGUGGCGAAGGCGAGUCCCUGGACAACACCUGACACUGAGGCACGAAAGCUAGGGGAGCAAACAGG